UCGCUUGUUUAGCCCCUCGGACUCUCUGGAAAAGACGCCUGCAUCCCCGCAGCUGGCAGGGCGGGCCCGAUCUAGCCCCAGCAUCUGUAGCGAUUUGGGACGGAAUGGGGGGCAGGCGUCUCCAGCUUUUAGAUACAUCCCACGAGCAACCUCACCCACUGAGGGCAACUCUUCCCCGCAACAGAAGCGUCAUGAGCUGUACCGUGAUAUCCGCUCACACAUCUGGCAGGAGCAUGGUCGGGCACAGAUCCAUGGGUGGAGCCAGCCACCUGCACUUCAGGGCCAUGAUCCACCUCUGGUUGGUGCUGACGUGCCUGUGCUUGUACAGUUACGGAUGUUGGACCAGAAGGA